AUACUUAACCUGGCAAGGGAAAUACCAUGAUCAAGAAGGUGGUUUUCCCAGGGCUAGGCUUAUCCAUUGCACUCCAGAUGUGCUGACCCCUGUGAUUUUUUUCCAAAUACAGGGAAACUCGUCUGCAUAAUUUGUGGUAGUGGGGGGGCUGUGUUCAUGCUCUCUCCUG
rnacentral:snRNA from 1 species